CUGGCAUGGUCACCACCCUCACUGUGCGGAGCACAGGAAUGGCACUGGCUGGCUCAGCAGUGACUGUGGAGGGUCCUGGGCUGCAGGGUGGGAGCUGAGGUGUUGUGGUGGGAUUUCAGUGAGACCAUAAGCUUGGCCUUGCUAUAGAGGAAAUGUUGAAUUGUAGACAUUAGAUAAAUCAGUUACGACUACUGCUGUGUCCUAUGAGUCUCACAGGAAUUUUCUGGAGGCUUACUCUAGGACUGGGUACUGACCCAUUCAACAGGCUCAUUGAUUUCUCUAAAAGGGACAGAGGUGACACGCAAAUCAUAUGUGUAAAUGGCUUGAAAGGAAAUUCGGAGAAUAUUUGUAACCUAGAUUUAACCUAAAGCAAAUUUCUGGAGCUACAUCAAAAGGGUCUAAUUUAUUGCCUCAUCUCCCCUUCCCCAUGAACCAACCUCCCUCCCCAAUCCCACUAAGGAGGAGGUGAGAGAGACAGGCAGCCCUAAGAGUCUCAGGAAACGCUGGGUACCCAAUGGGGGUUGGAAGGGGCGGCACAGAGGGAGACAGAAGCUGACCAGGCCAGGUACAGGGCCAGAGGAGCAUACAUGUUCAAGGCUAGCAAGAUCUGGGGAGCUGGAGGGAAGAGGAGCCCCUGGAAAGGGAAGCUGGGUUGGUCACUGCACUCAGAAGAUGCCCCAUGUUUACCAGGACAGACUUGUCCAGCGUCCCCUUGUAUAGGACAGAGUAGAGAACAUCCAAACUCAGGCUGGGCUGACUAACACUUCUAUAAUUUUAUCCCAAUUCCCUUUCACUACAUGUCAGAAGGACACUCAAGGAUGGUGUCACAGAAGCACAAAGUCACACAGGAGGCAAGGUGUUGAGAGCCUGGAAAGGAUGAGCCCCUAAAGGACUCCAGAGGAUGAUGGCUGCCCAAACCAGGAAGUAGCUCUCACCAGGUACUGGAUAUGUGGACCUUGGAUUUCUUCAGUUCUCAAAGCUGAGAAAAAAAUUCCAGUUGUUCUGAAGCCUCUCAGCCCAUGGUGCCUUAUUAUAGUAGUUUGAGUGAGCCAGACAUUGUGUCUUGUGGAGAUUCACCCACAUUCCUCAGCCUUAUAAGGUGUCAUGGCUGUUCAUCGUUCCACUACAAGUUGUUUUAUAAUUUA